UACCAUUUGAUUUUUAUGGGGGGGCUAGGAUGAAAAAUUUUGUCCUGCAUUUUUUUUUAGUUGUAAUCUCUGUCCUGCCUUUUUAUUUUUCACUCUAUUCGGUCCUGCUUUUUUUUUUAGUUUAUCCUGACUUUUUUUACAUAAAUUGUCGUCCUGACUUUUUUUUUGCAAGUGUCUCAUCCUGCCUUUUUUUUUACUCAAAACUCCUGUCCUGCCUAUUUUUUUCAAAUUUCAUCCUAGCCCCCCCCCCCCCC
rnacentral:lncRNA from 1 species